rnacentral:rRNA from 1 species
AGUGAACGCUGGCGGUAGGCCUAACACAUGCAAGUCGAACGGCAGCACAGUAAGAGCUUGCUCUUACGGGUGGCGAGUGGCGGACGGGUGAGGAAUACAUCGGAAUCUACUUUUUCGUGGGGGUUAACGUAGGGAAACUUACGCUAAUACCGCAUACGACCUACGGUUGAAAGCAGGGGAUCUUCGCACCUUGCGCGAUUGAAUGAGCCGAUGUCGGAUUAGCUAGUUGGCGGGGUAAAGGCCCACCAAGGCGACGAUCCGUAGCUGGUCUGAGAGGAUGAUCAGCCACACUGGAACUGAGACACGGUCCAGACUCCUACGGGAGGCAGCAGUGGGGAAUAUUGGACAAUGGGCGCAAGCCUGAUCCAGCCAUACCGCGUGGGUGAAGAAGGCCUUCGGGUUGUAAAGCCCUUUUGUUGGGAAAGAAAAGCAGCAGGUUAAUACCCCGCUGUUCUGACGGUACCCAAAGAAUAAGCACCGGCUAACUUCGUG